UUACUGCUAAUGGAUAAUCAUUCCAGUCACCUUGAAUUUCCAUGUGUGAAAUUUGCAAAAGAAAACUCGAUAAUUUUGCUAACAUUUUCCCCCGCAUUGUUCGCACAAACUCCAACCUCUUGACGUUGCAGUUUAUUUCCCAUUCAAGCGGGCAUUGAGACACAGCCACAAUGAGUGGUUACAAUCUAAUCCUGGUAAACGCAUUGGAAUAAAAGAUAUUGCUGGUCUUACACAAGUUCCGUUUAUCACCAAAAUUGUCGCCGAAAACAUCAUUGCAGGAUUUAAGAAAUCAGGAAUUUGGCCGUUUAAUAGAAAUGCUAUUCCAUCGUCUCAAUUCACUCCUAGUCGAGUAACGGAUAGACCAGAUCCAACUCAGCAUACAAACACCACUGAAGACGUCGCAGAUUAGGCUUUCGCUGGUUCAUCAAUUGAGAGCAACAACGUAAAUUCCACAAUCGGUGAUGAUGUGACACUGGAGAGCAUUCGACCUUUUCCAAAGGUGAUACCAUCCACGGGUUCACGCAGGCCGUCUAGUAGAUUAGGAAGUACACGGAUCUUGACAGAUUCACCCGAAACCAACAAGAUUGAAGAAGAUUACAUGAGGAAAAAAGAGAAGGAGAACAAGAAAGAUGCAGUUAAACGACGUUUACUUCCAUUGAAGGAAAACAACCAACACCAAAGUAACAUUCCUGCUACACGCCCUACAGUUAAACGCAGGAUCCAACGUGAAAACAAGAUCAACGAGGAUAAGGCAGACAAAGAAAACAUCCAAGACCAUUCCGAUACCGAGGAAGGACCUUCAUCGACUCGUUCAAGAUUCGGUCGUGUUAUCAAGCCUACCCUGAAACACAACGUGUGAAGAAUUUUGAAACACAACGAGUAAUAUAUCCAUUCAUUUCAG